UACGUAGGGGGCAAGCGUUGUCCGGAUUUAUUGGGCGUAAAGAGCGUGUAGGCGGCUUUGCAAGUCCGUUGUGAAAACUCGAGGCUCAACCUCGAGACGCCGGUGGAAACUGCAAAGCUAGAGUCCGGAAGAGGAGAGUGGAAUUCCUGGUGUAGCGGUGAAAUGCGCAGAUAUCAGGAAGAACACCGGUGGCGAAGGCGGCUCUCUGGACCGAGACUGACGCUGAGGCGCGAAAGCGUGGGGAGCAAACAGG
rnacentral:rRNA from 1 species